GACUCAGUAGCUCAGCCUGGUAGAGCACUUGACUGAAGCUCAAGGUGUCAACAGUUCAAAUCUGUUCUGAGUCA
rfam:Lingula anatina scaffold136, whole genome shotgun sequence.